rnacentral:rRNA from 1 species
UACGUAGGGUGCGAGCGUUAAUCGGAAUUACUGGGCGUAAAGCGUGCGCAGGCGGUUCGUUGUGUCGGCGGUGAAAGCCCCGGGCUCAACCUGGGAAUGGCCGUUGAAACUGGCGAACUGGAGUGUGGCAGAGGGGGGUGGAAUUCCGCGUGUAGCAGUGAAAUGCGUAGAGAUGCGGAGGAACACCGGUGGCGAAGGCGGGACUCUGGGCCGAUACUGACGCUGAGGAGCGAAAGCGUGGGGAGCGAACAGG